UGGGGAAUCUUGGACAAUGGGGGCAACCCUGAUCCAGCGAUGCCGCGUGAGCGAAGAAGGCCUUAGGGUUGUAAAGCUCUUUCGCCCGCGACGAUGAUGACGGUAGCGGGAGAAGAAGCCCCGGCUAACUCCGUGCCAGCAGCCGCGGUAAUACGGAGGGGGCUAGCGUUGUCCGGAAUUACUGGGCGUAAAGCGCGCGUAGGCGGUCCACCAAGUCGGGGGUGAAAGCCCGGGGCUCAACCCCGGAAUGUCCUCCGAGACUGUUGGACUGGAGUUCGGGAGAGGGGAGCGGAAUUCCCAGUGUAGAGGUGAAAUUCGUAGAUAUUGGGAAGAACACCGGUGGCGAAGGCGGCUCUCUGGCCCGCAACUGACGCUGAGGCGCGAAAGCGUGGGGAGCAAACA
rnacentral:rRNA from 1 species